AAGUGUUCAGCGUUCAGAUGGUUACGUGAUACUUUGGCGCCGCCAUGUGGAAGAAAUUWGUAGAAACCAUGGACAAAGAACCUACAUUUUAUGUCCCCUUUGGUUUGCCGUAGSCAGUGUUAAUGGCACGAUGGUAAAAAAGGAGAUCUUGGAAUACUGUAUUUUGGCGGAAACCUCUUCUGUAACAGCAUCAGUGCCUCGCUUUGCACUGGAGAGGGCUUGCAGUAGCUCYCGUUGAUGGUCCUAGCCGUGGGAGGUAGAUGGAUUGGGAUGAUCCACACGUUGACUAAUGGUUGUUCUGAAAAACAAAAUGUAUUUAGCUUAAGAGAUGACCUCAAAUGAUACAUCUCAGAAGAUCAUCACAGCGCCGUGACUAGCGCACUCUCCAUUGUGUGCAGCAGAAUGUCUCCACGGGUGGCGACUCUGCUGUCCGGACUGUGGCUGUURUUGGUUCUGUCUUGUGCUGCUAGGUCGAUGUGGCAAGCCUGUGACAAUGGGAAGCUCUUGCUGGGGAGAGACCUGCCCCCAUCAGUUGUAUGGAGCUGUCCUGUGAUUUCCUGGCCAGAGUCCACUACCCAGAAGAUUCCUAGCAUUGACACAGAGUAUCCUCCACAGCCGAUUGAGCACGUCUGCAUGGACACACCCAUCACCUACAAUCACACUAUCCCCAACAGUGGAGCUCACCGGACUGUAGGGGCAGAGAGUGGAGAGUACCUGUACUGCCCCCCUCAACGCUGGCUCAAUAACCUGCAGGUAACCACUAAAACCAUGA